rnacentral:rRNA from 1 species
UACGUAGGGUCCGAGCGUUGUCCGGAGUGACUGGGCGUAAAGCGCGCGCAGGCGGCCCGCGAGGUGUCCUGUGAAAGCCCCGUGCUCAACGCGGGAGGGUCAGGGCAAACCGGCGGGCUUGAGGCCGGUAGAGGUGGGUGGAACUCCUGGUGGAGUGGUGAAAUGCGUAGAGAUCAGGAAGAACACCCGUGGCGAAAGCGGCUCUCUGGAACGGCACUGACGCUGAGACGCGAAAGCGUGGGGAGCGAACAGG